rnacentral:rRNA from 1 species
AUUGAACGCUGGCGGCAGGCCUAACACAUGCAAGUCGAGCGGAUGAAGGGAGCUUGCUUCUGGAUUCAGCGGCGGACGGGUGAGUAAUGCCUAGGAAUCUGCCUGGUAGUGGGGGAUAACGUCCGGAAACGGGCGCUAAUACCGCAUACGACCUGAGGGUGAAAGUGGGGGAUCUUCGGACCUCACGCUAUCAGAUGAGCCUAGGUCGGAUUAGCUAGUUGGUGUGGUAAAGGCCUACCAAGGCGACGAUCCGUAACUGGUCUGGGAGGAUGAUCAGUCACACUGGAACUGGAACACGGUCCAGACUCGUACGGGAGGAAGCAGAGGGAAAUAUUGGACAAUGGGCGAAGGCCUGAUCCAGCAAUGCGGGGUGUGUGAAGAGGGUCUUGGGAUGGUAAAGCACUUUGAGUUGGGAGGAAGGGCAGUAAGUUAAUAACUUGAUGUAUUGACGGUACCUACAGAAUAAGCACCGGCUAACUUCGUG